GCGCACUCGUCUGAACGGCCUGCGGCGCGGAACCGUGACGGCGGGGUGGGCAUGGCGUAGGGAGGAGGCAGAGUGCGAGUCUCAAAGGGGCUGCUGGUAGAGUGACCAUGCUGCGAAGGGCGUUGCAGCCAGGCUUGAGCCGGGGCGUCUUGGGCCGGGGGCUAGGCACACACAGAGGACGCUCCACUCUGGGUAAAGUUGAGGGCAGCGGAGGGUAUCGUGGUUCUUGGGUGGCCCCAGUCUCCAGCUAUGUGACCUUCAGAACUCGGGACCCGACCCACGAUGGAAAGACAGUGGGUCGGCUGGGAGAAGGGGACCAGAAUGGAAAGGUGUCCGAGAUUAAGAAGAAGAUCCAGUCAGUCCUUCCUCGAGGGGCCUGGAAUCCACUGCGUGACACCAGCUACCUGCCCCCUGAACACUCGGAUGUGGUGAUUGUGGGGGGUGGGGUGAUUGGCCUGUCCGUGGCCUAUUGGCUGAAGAGGUUGGAGAAGCCACAAGGUGCCAUUCGGGUGCUGGUGGUGGAACGGGACCACACGUAUUCCCAGGCCUCCACCGCACUGUCUGUGGGCGGGAUUCGGCAGCAGUUCUCGGUGCCUGAGAACAUCCAGCUCUCCCUCUUUUCAGUUGAGUUUCUGCGGAACAUCAAUGAGUACCUGGCUGUAGUCGAUGAUCCUCCCCUGGACAUCCAGUUCAAUCCGUCGGGUUAUCUCUUGCUGGCUUCGGAAAAGGGGGCUGCAGUCAUGGAGAGCAACGUGAAGGUGCAGAGGCAGGAAGGAGCCAAAGUCUGCCUGAUGUCUCCUGAGCAGCUUCGGAACAAAUUUCCCUGGAUAAACACAGAGGGUGUGGCGUUGGCAUCUUACGGGAUGGAGCACGAAGGUUGGUUUGACCCCUGGUGUCUGCUCCAGGGGCUUCGGCGGAAGGUCCAGUCCAUGGGGGUCCUCUUCUGCCAUGGAGAGGUGACACGUUUUGUCUCUUCGUCUAGCCACACGGAGACCACAAGUGGGGAAGAGGUGACUUUGAGAAGGAUCCAUGAAGUCCAUGCUCAGGAAGAAAUGUACCUCUCACGGUGCCCGGUGUGUGGGCCAGGCCCUCCCUCCCCUCCCCCUUUGGUGCCUGCAGGUGAAGAUGGACCGCAGCCUGGAGUACCAGCCUGUGGAAUGUGCCCUCGUGAUCAAUGCGGCAGGGGCCUGGUCUGGCCAGAUCGCAGAGCUGGCUGGUGUCGGGAAGGGGCCCCCUGGCACCCUGCAGGGCACCCAGCUCCCUGUGGAGCUGAGGAAAAGGUAUGUGUACUUGUGGCACUGCCCCCAGGGACCGGGCCUGGAGACCCCAUUCGUCAUAGAUGCCAGUGGAGCCUAUUUCCGCCGAGAAGGACUAGGCAACAACUAUCUGGGUGGCUGUAGCCCCACUGAGGAGGAGGAACCGGACCCAGGGAACCUGGAAGUGGACCAUGAUUUCUUCCAGGACAAGGUGUGGCCCCCUUUGGCCCAGAGGGUACCGGCUUUUGAGACUCUGAAGGUUCGGAGUGCUUGGGCUGGCUAUUACGACUACAACACCUUCGACCAGAACGGUGUGGUGGGUCCCCACCCGCUCGUCGUCAACAUGUACUUUGCCACAGGCUUCAGUGGCCAUGGGCUCCAGCAGGCCCCCGCCGUGGGGCGAGCUGUGGCAGAGAUGGUGCUGGAUGGCCACUUCCGGACUAUCAACCUGAGCCCCUUCCUCUUCAACCGCUUUUACUUGGGAGAAAAGGUCCAGGAGCACAACAUCAUCUGAGCCUGUAAGCUCUUCACUGGGCCCCGCUGCCCCAUCCGUCACCCUUGGCUCACAUUCACAUCCUCCUCACUGUGGCUUCCUCCCCAGCACCAAGCCAGGCUCUCCUCCAUCCUCCUCUCCCCCCCGGGGCUGGGCGGGCCCGCAGGCCGACUCUAGGCUUUGAGAGGCACUGUGCCUGAGGCCCAGGCCAACAGAGAAUGAUGGGGUGAGACCCCAGGACUGAUCUCUGGCCCGGGCCAAGGCCGCCCACCAAGGUAGUGCAGCUGGGCAGAAUACCUGAGCACGUGCCCCAAGACUGGCUUCUUCUGGCACUGACCCAGAAAGAUUGCCUCUGCCUCUCUUUGGCAGGCUCCAGCGGAGCCCAGGCAGGGGGCAUUGCAGGGCAGUCUGGCCCAGAUUUAGUGAUUGUUUACCUUUUUCAUCAGUCAAUAAAUGUGAUUACUCUUUCCA